GAUGAACGCUGGCGGCGUGCCUAAUACAUGCAAGUCGAGCGAACAGACGAGGAGCUUGCUCCUUUGACGUUAGCGGCGGACGGGUGAGUAACACGUAGGUAACCUACCUAUAAGACUGGGAUAACUUCGGGAAACCGGAGCUAAUACCGGAUAAUAUUUCGAACCGCAUGGUUCGAUAGUGAAAGAUGGCUUUGCUAUCACUUAUAGAUGGACCUGCGCCGUAUUAGCUAGUUGGUAAGGUAACGGCCUGCCAAGGCAACGAUACGUAGCCGACCUGAGAGGGUGAUCGGCCACACUGGAACUGAGACACGGUCCAGACUCCUACGGGAGGCAGCAGUAGGGAAUCUUCCGCAAUGGGCGAAAGCCUGACGGAGCAACGCCGCGUGAGUGAUGAAGGUCUUCGGAUCGUAAAACUCUGUUAUUAGGGAAGAACAAACGUGUAAGUAACUGUGCACGUCUUGACGGUACCUAAUCAGAAAGCCACGGCUAACUACGUG
rnacentral:rRNA from 1 species